CCUGCAGGGUGGUGCCGUAGGGCGUGGCUCCGCUUACUCCCGAGGCUGCUGGGGGCCUCCAAAUGGUCUGGCCGGGCAGGGACUUACGAAAGCAGGGCUCCGAGUGACCAUGCAUGAGUCCGCCCUAGUGGUACCAAACUGUAAACCACUUCAAGAGCUGGCGGAGCGGCUGCAGGCCUCCCGCAAGAAGUUUGUUGAAGCUGCAGGGUCCGAGAGUGGUGCCAGAUGACUGAGCUUUCUCCACCUCUCCCACCAAAAAAUCCACAGCCCUGGCGCUACUGAGGAUCCAGUUGCGGGGUUCUUGUCUCAUGGGACAGGUCAGCCGACUCCCAGGCUCAGGCUAAGGAGAAAGCUUAAAGUCCUGGUCCGCAAACCAGAGACAAUGGGACACCUAGCAAAUCCUCAACACUCAGCACUCUUAGCUGCAGCUGAUAAGAAGAGAAGAGAGAGAAAAAUCCCAGAGAAAAAGCCAACUCUCUGCCCAGAGGAGCCAGCAAUUCAGCCUGGCCACGCUCAGGAAGCAAGGGACGCUUCUGAGCUGGGUCCACUCUUGAGUGUGACAUCAUUCGCAGAGCAUCAGACACACCCACACUUAAACACACAGUGUAAAAAACGCUCUGAAAGGAGCCCUGUAAACGGGCAGGCGGACUUUCAUUAGCAGAUGGACGCCAGCCACUUACUGGGUCCUGUUUACAAAGGCCCAGCUUCCCUCAGAGACGGUCAGUGGAAGUCCAACAGGGUUAUGUGACUCUAAGAACAACAUGCUGUAAAAACCGUCUUUUAAAGAUCAUAGAACGAGUUCUUCGACUCUUAA